rnacentral:lncRNA from 1 species
UAUAGACGCUCCUACAACGUUAGGGCAACUGACCUCUGCCCAUUUACACAGCGACAGCCCUCAACGGUCUUUCUGCGGAGCCGGGUGGUGCUGCCCGCGAGCCCGGCUUGGGUCACUCCGUCACGCUCCCCUGGCUCGACACCAGGACAUGCCCAAGCCCCAGACCCAAACGAUGGGAGUGCUGGCCGAGACCUGGAGGGCUAUGAGCGAUCCUCGUUUUGGGGAGCCCGCCUUCCGCGCUUGGGGCGCUCAGCCAAGGCCAAAGAACUUGAGCUGGCGGGCUCCCAGCCGGGGCCGCGCCACCCGCGUCCAGGCCCGCAGACUCGGGGCGCUCAGGUGCCAGCCCGCCUUAGCUCGGCGCCUUCGCCGGCUCUCCGAGCCUCAGCAGCACACGCGCUCCCGGCCCCACCGCCGUGGUCCCCGCCUCUCCACCCGCGGUCCCAGCCAGGCUGCCCGCUCCUAAGAUGGCGGCGUCGGCGUCGGGGGGCGGUGCCCCACGUGGGGGCCGGCGGCCAAUGGGCUUCCGGUCUGCGCCUCCGGCCCGGCGCGGGAGGCGGAAGUGCCGCGGGCCGCCGCCUCCGUCCGGGCUGCGGCCCCUGCCGGUUACAUAACUCGUUGCGGGCUCCGCGCGGCCCCACUUCCCGGCUCCCGGCGACCCCAGGAUGCGCUGAGCCCCACGGCGUCGUCCGCUGCCGCCGGCUCCCGCCCGAGGGAGGGCACCAUCUGAUGUGCAGAGGACGUUUCAGGCCUCUUUUUCUUCCACCUCCCAGAACUCUUGAUUUGGGAGCUCCUUCUAGAUGCCCAGACAAAAGCCUUUCUCUGGACUGUUUCCUGGGUGGGAUCCCAGGGGCCACUUUCAACACAUACCCUGACCAUGUGACCCAGGGUUCUCCCACAGAUGGCCCCAGCGCGGCAGAGCUUCCGGCUCACGCUGAGAUGGUGCUCAGGUCCGGCAACCUCCCUUCUAGGGAAGUCACAGAAUCCACGCUUUGCGGAGCCACAUCUGUGGGAGCCUUUGACCGAAGAAAUGCUUAGUGAAGAAGUGCCACUAAGUAUAGCAAGUUGCCAACAUUGUUCAUAGAGACAGAAAGUGGCAUGGAGGUUGCUGGGGGCUGGAGGAGAGAGAACAGGGAGUUAGUGGUUGUUGGGUGCCGAGUUUCAGUUUGGGAAGAUGAAAAAGUUCUGGAGAGGAUGGUGGUGGUGCUUGCACGUAAUGUGAAUGUACUUAAUGCCACUGAUCUGUAUACUUAAAAGUGGUUAAAAUGGUAAAUUUCAUGUUAUGUAUAUUUUACCACAAUAAAAAAAAGAGAGAUAAAAGAAGAAAAAUGUCA